rnacentral:rRNA from 1 species
UACGGGGGGGGCAAGCGUUGUUCGGAAUUACUGGGCGUAAAGGGCGCGUAGGCGGCCUGCUAAGUCGGACGUGAAAUCCCUCGGCUUAACCGGGGAACUGCGUCCGAUACUGGAUGGCUUGAGUUCGGGAGAGGGAUGCGGAAUUCCUGGUGUAGCGGUGAAAUGCGUAGAUAUCAGGAGGAACACCGGUGGCGAAGGCGGCUACCUGGGACAGGAAACUGACGCUGAGGCGCGAAAAGCUAGGGGAGCAAACAGGG